rnacentral:lncRNA from 1 species
AUUUAAUGGUUCUCUCCAUUUCCCCAGCAGGAAAAUCAAGACUCAGAAAGUUAAGAUUAACUUAAGUUUGCAUCCUUCUCUCAAUCCCUCAGUAAAUGACAAGGAAGUUGGGAAGAGUGACAGACUAACAAUUCGGCUCAGAAUUCAAGGAGCUCAGGCGGAAAAACAAACUGCCAAGAGGCCUCAAUUGUCCCCUUCACCGCUGGCCCCAGACCUCCAAACAUUUCUUGUGCUUUGCAUUUCUUGAGCCUUUCUCUCUGGCCUCCAAUUCAAGCAAAAGGCCCAGGGGAAACAGGCGGUGUGAUCAAUGCAUCCACGAAGGCAACUAUGACAGCCCUUUCGUAAUGUUCUUCUCUCAGAGAGCAUUUUUAAAGGAGAUCCCAGGGCAGCAUGCACACUUUUACUCAAAGGAAUAACAUUCCUAAUGCAGGACAUUCAGGCGGCAAGGAGGCUGGGGAAUAGCACAGAGGUCACCCUACUUCCUGGUGCCCCCCUCCCCUGCCUGCCGUGGGAAAGAAAGCCUCAAGCCCCAUGUCGCGGUGUGGUACAAGAGGAAGUCCAUCCCUCUGGCCUCCAACCAGUGCCCAGCCACCUUUUCCGGCUGGCCUAUGACAAGGAACA